rnacentral:rRNA from 1 species
UCAGCGCCGACCUCCACCCUUUGUUGUUAAAACUACCUUGUUGCUUUGGCGGGACCGCUCGGUCUCGAGCCGCUGGGGAUUCGUCCCAGGCGAGCGCCCGCCAGAGUUAAACCAAACUCUUGUUAUUUAACCGGUCGUCUGAGUUAAAAUUUUGAAUAAAUCAAAACUUUCAACAACGGAUCUCUUGGUUCUCGCAUCGAUGAAGAACGCAGCGAAAUGCGAUAAGUAAUGUGAAUUGCAGAAUUCAGUGAAUCAUCGAAUCUUUGAACGCACAUUGCGCCCCUUGGUAUUCCGAGGGGCAUGCCUGUUCGAGCGUCAUUACACCACUCAAGCUAUGCUUGGUAUUGGGCGUCGUCCUUAGUUGGGCGCGCCUUAAAGACCUCGGCGAGGCCACUCCGGCUUUAGGCGUAGUAGAAUUUAUUCGAACGUCUGUCAAAGGAGAGGAACUCUGCCGACUGAAACCUUUAUUUUUCUAGGUUGACCUCGGAUCAGGUAGGGAUACCCGCUGAACUUAAGCAUAUCAAUA